UCGGGAAUUUUGCUCAAUGGGCGAAAGCCUGAAGCAGCAACGCCGCGUGAGGGAUGAAGGCCUUCGGGUUGUAAACCUCUUUUCCCAGGGACGAUAAUGACGGUACCUGGGGAAUAAGCCACGGCUAACUACGUGCCAGCAGCCGCGGUAAUACGUAGGUGGCAAGCGUUGUCCGGAUUUACUGGGCGUAAAGAGCGCGCAGGCGGCCGAGUCAGUCGAAUGUGAAAGCCCCCGGCUCAACUGGGGAGGGUCAUUCGAUACUGCUCGGCUCGAAGAUGGGAGAGGGAAGCGGAAUUUCAGGUGUAGUGGUGAAAUGCGUAGAUAUCUGAAGGAACACCAGUGGCGAAGGCGGCUUUCUGGCCCAUUCUUGACGCUGAGGCGCGAAAGCUAGGGGAGCAAACGGG
rnacentral:rRNA from 1 species